AAACACACAUCCGAACACACACAGACACACACAGGUCCACAUGGAAGGGGAAAGUCAGCCUGUCAGGAACCAUGACAUGAAACGGUAUGAUGUGUAAGUAUACAUUCCACAGUUGAAGUGGAUUCAUCUUCAAGCCUCAGUGACGUUCUAGAGAACUAAAACAGAUCGGCUUGUAUUGUUUCCAU